rfam:Ixodes scapularis strain Wikel colony gcontig_1108379810224, whole genome shotgun sequence.
CCCUGGUUAGCUCAGUUGGUAGAGUGCUCCACCUGUUAUGGAGAGGUCGCGGGUUCGAUACCCAGACCAGGCG